AAAAACUGUGUUUCGAUGGUGAAAAUAGCUUUCAAGUCCAUGAAUGAGGACACAUGUGUACUUUUAUGGACACCUUUCCAUUUAUCAGAAAUAUAAGAGGGACAGAGAACUUGAGAGAGAAAAUCUUCAGGUGAAGCAAGCAAGCUGAAACUGAGGAAAUUCUUCCUGAAAGAAUGAUUUAUUUCUUCCAAAGAAAACUUGGUUUAUCAAAAUCAAUCAACAAAUGAGUGAACCCAUGGUGUGGUUAUUUAUAGCAAAAUUUAAAACCCAACAGAUUUCUCUUUCCCAUCUAGCAUGCUUCUGUCUAACCUCUCAUCAUUAGUUGGUAUGUACAAAAGACACAAUUCACUUUAUUUAUAAUUUAAAUCCAGUCAGAAAUAAUAGGUGAACCUUCACUUCUCACAUUUGGACUUAUCUCUCUCUCCCUCCCGACAGGAAGGGAGACUUACCUAACGGGUGAAUUUGGGAGAAGGAGCUAAGCAGUGCUUAUGUGUUUCUGAGUCUCCUCUUUGAAAAGAUGUGCCUGCCCACAGUAACAUGAAUUUGGGUCUGCUCUCAGCUCUGUGAAAAUAAGAGAUCAUACUAAACAACAACAACAACAACAACCACAACAACAAAACUGGCUGGAGUUUCAGUGAUGCUGAGUUGGAAAGGUCUUCCAUCCAUUAUAUAUGAUUGGUAAGGCAAGGGAAGCUCACCCUUAGAACCCAGCCACCACGUUGUGAGGAAUCCCAGGCUAUCUAGUGAAUCUUCAUGUAGAUACUCCAGCUGAGACUAGCCAACGUGCUAGCCAAAGGCCAGCCUCAGCAGCCAAACACGUGCAUGAACAAGCCUUUAGAUGAUUCUAGUCUCCAGCUUCCAGUUAUGCCAGCUGAUGCCAAAUGAAGAAGAAAUGAGUUGCCCUACUCUGCUUUGCCUAAACUAAAGAUUGGUGAACAAGAUAAAUGCUGUUUUGAACUACUAGGCUUUGAGUGGCUUAUUAUGCAGCAGUAAAUUCCUACCACAGAUACUGAUCCUAAAAACGGUGUGCUGCUAUUGAAAAAAACCUAAAACUAAACUUCCUUUGAACCAGGAGGUAGGUGGAACCUGGAAAGAUGUAGAAAAGCAUAAGAAUGAGACCCAAAAAGGGCCUCCACGAGACUCUUAGUGGAAGCCUGAUGGCCUGUGAAGAGGCUGACGGCAAGGGUUUCUAAGCAAGUGAAGAAAAUGACACUGGAGGAAAGGGAAGUCAUGCUACAAAAUACCUGAAAGUAAAACGGAUAGGAAAGAGAAACUAAAGAAAGACUAUGCAACUGAAAGGAACCAGGACUUACUGGGUUCAAGUAUCUGUUUCUCAUUUACAGCCUCUCUACAUGUGGAACUGUCAAAUAAUGCCAACACGAAGAAAUGGCUUUUGGGUUACGAGAAAAUCCAGGGUGCUACCAGGAAAACAGAAAGAUUUAAGGUAUGCCUCCAGUUUCUUUAGGGAUCUUAAGAGUAUAAGAUUUUUUUUUUUAAAGUAGGUUCCACACCCGACAUGGGGCUUAAACUCAGCACCCAGAGAUCAAGUGUCACAUGCUCUACCAACUGAGCCAGCCAGGAGCUCCAAGAGUAGACGAAUUUUAAAGGCAUUGUCAUAUAAGAGCUUCACAGGAAACCUGAAGCGAAAAGCUGAUCUCAAAAGGACUUGGGAGGGUCGCUUUGCUACAACACGGCAUGAAAUCCAGUAAUAUUUAUAGAAAACUAAAAAAGGUAAGAGAUUUAUAGUAGCAAACAUACUAUUUGCUAGCUUGGACUACAAGAGACCAAAUCGUGCAAAAGGAAAAGAGGCCUUUGGGUCUUAGAAGUCCCACAGGGAGGAAGCAGGAUGAAAAAACAGCUGCAAAUACAGGUCAUUCCUUAUGAAAAGGAAGGAACCAAGAGCUCAAAGAGUAAAGAAAGGGAAGAGACAUGGAGAAAGUAUUCCCGUGGUUAGGACUAAGUCCUAACUUAAGAACUGACAGCAUGCAUCAGGCUAUAUUUCAAAACUUUUAUGGACUAGGGUGCUUCCCAUCUCCUUUUUCUGAAUGGGAGAGUCUUCAGCAGUUGACUAGAAUGUUGCAUUUGUGAGUGGUAAAUAACUGUCUCUUUCGUUCUCAAGUCCUCAUAUUGAGAACACUUGCACUCAAGGGGCUAUACUUUAGAUACCAUAACCCAGGCAGCUUAUCCCCACUGCACCUGAUUAAGAUGGUAAGAUCUUGGACUCAAGCCUUGAACCUGAUGCCAUGAUAACUGAGACUUGCAGGAGGUAUUGGAGGGGGAGGGGAGUGAAUGUAUUUUUCAGGUGGGAGGAAUACAAACAUUUGUGGCCAGUGGGUAAAUUAUACUGCCUUUUAAAGGUGUCCAUAGGUUUCAAAUAUUAAUUCCAUAAAAAAAAAAAAGACCAUGGAACAACCUUAGUGGCUUGCUCCUAAUGAACAGAAUAUGUGAAUAUGAUGCUGUGUGUAUUCCAAGCCUAGGUGACAAAAGGCGAUACAGAUUCUGCCUUGCUCUGUAUCUCAGGCUGCUUACUUGGAAUCUAGCUCCCCAUCUAGUGAGGAAGUCUAGGCCACAAAGAGGGUCUAGGUGUGUCAGUUUAAGUGUUUCUGCUGCCUCCUGAACUGAAGUCCCAGGCAACAGCCAGCAUCAACAA